AUACGGAGGAUGCGAGCGUUAUCCGGAUUUAUUGGGUUUAAAGGGAGCGUAGGCGGGAGCUUAAGUCAGCGGUUAAAUGGUGCGGCUCAACCGUGCCCUGCCGUUGAAACUGGGUUUCUUGAGAGUGCAAGAGGCGGAUGGAAUUCAUGGUGUAGCGGUGAAAUGCUUAGAUAUCAUGAAGAACUCCGAUUGCGAAGGCAGUCCGCUGGGGCACGUCUGACGCUGAUGCUCGAAGGUGCGGGAAUCAAACAGGAUUAGAUACCCUGGUAGUCCGCACGGUAAACGAUGAUUACCCGCUGUCGGCGGUAGACAGUCGGCGGCCAAGCGAAAGCGAUAAGUAAUCCACCUGGGGAGUACGCCGGCAACGGUGAAACUUAAAGGAAUUGACGGGG
rnacentral:rRNA from 1 species